rnacentral:rRNA from 1 species
GACGAACGCUGGCGGCGUGCUUAACACAUGCAAGUCGAACGGAAAGGCCCUGCUCUUGUGGGGUGCUCGAGUGGCGAACGGGUGAGUAACACGUGAGUAACCUGCCCUUGACUUUGGGAUAACUUCAGGAAACUGGGGCUAAUACCGGAUAGGAGCUCCUGCUGCAUGGUGGGGGUUGGAAAGUUUCGGCGGUUGGGGAUGGACUCGCGGCUUAUCAGCUUGUUGGUGGGGUAGUGGCUUACCAAGGCUUUGACGGGUAGCCGGCCUGAGAGGGUGACCGGCCACAUUGGGACUGAGAUACGGCCCAGACUCCUACGGGAGGCAGCAGUGUGGAAUAUUGCACGAUGGGCGGAAGCCUGAUGCAGCAACGCCGCGUGCGGGAUGGCGGCCUUCGGGUUUUAAACCGCUUUCGCCUGUGACGAAGCGUGAGUGACGGUAAUGGGUAAAGAAGCACCGGCUAACUACGUG